rnacentral:pre_miRNA from 1 species
AUUAUACUCCCUCCGUCCCAAAAUUCUUGUCUUAGAUUUGUCUAGAUACGGAUGUAUCAAGUCAUGUUUUAGUAUUAGAUACAUCCGUAUCUAGACAAAUGUAAGACAAGGAUCUUGGGACGGAGGGAGUAUCUU